rnacentral:rRNA from 1 species
UGCAGUCGACGGUAACGACGAAGAAAUCCUUUCGGGGUGCGUUUUCGGGCGACGAGUGGCGCACGGGUGAGUAACGCGUGGGAAUCUGCCCGACGGCGGGGGACAGCCCGGGGAAACCCGGAUUAAUACCGCAUACGUCCUAUGGGAGAAAGGCGGGGAUCUCUUCGGAGGCCUGUCGCCGACGGAUGAGCCCGCGUCGGAUUAGGUUGUUGGGGGGGUAAUGGCCCACCAAGGCGACGAUCCAUAGCUGGUCUGAGAGGACGACCAGUCACACCGGAACUGAGACACGGUCCGGACUCCUACGGGAGGCAGCAGUGGGGAAUAUUGCACAAUGGGCGCAACCCUGAUCCAGCAAUGCCGCGUGUGUGAAGAAGGCCUGCGGGUUGUAAAGCACUUUCAAUUGGGAAGAAAAGCCUCGUGUGAAUACCCGGUGGUCUUGACGGUACCAUUACAAGAAGCACCGGCUAACUCCGUGCCAGCAGCCGCGGUAAUACGGAGGGUGCAAGCGUUAAUCGGAAUCACUGGGCGUAAAGCGCACGCAGGCGGAUGUUUAAGUCAGAUGUGAAAUCCCCGGGCUCAACCUGGGAAUUGCAUUCGAUACUGCAGCUCUUGAGUAUGGCAGAGGGAAAUGGAAUUCCGGAUGUAGCGGUGAAAUGCGUAGAUAUGCGGAGGAACAUCAGUGGCGAAGGCGACUUCUUGGGCCGAUACUGACGCUCAGGUGCGAAAGCGUGGGGAGCAAACAGGAUUAGAUACCCUGGUAGUCCACGCCGUAAACGAUGUCUACUGGCUGUUGCCGGGUU